GAACCAGUAUGCCCCCCUUUUACGAUCUAUGACUCACUCACACUAACAUGUCGAACACUUCGAACAUGCAACCCACCUCAGGUGCUAAACACGUCACUGACUCAUGCGAAUGCCCUCGCAGUGUCACGUCGUGUCCUCUCCAGAGGUUU